UACGUAGGGUGCAGGCGUUAAUCGGAAUUACUGGGCGUAAAGCGUGCGCAGGCGGUUCGCCAAGUCAGGUGUGAAAUCCCCGGGCUUAACCUGGGAAUUGCGCUUGAAACUAGCGGGCUUGAGUGUGGCAGAGGGGGGUGGAAUUCCACGUGUAGCAGUGAAAUGCGUAGAGAUGUGGAGGAACACCGAUGGCGAAGGCAGCCCCCUGGGCUGAGAUUGACGCUCAGGCACGAAAGCGUGGGGAGCAAACAGG
rnacentral:rRNA from 1 species